rnacentral:rRNA from 1 species
GACGAACGCUGGCGGCGUGCUUAACACAUGCAAGUCGAACGGUAAGGCCCUUCGGGGUACACGAGUGGCGAACGGGUGAGUAACACGUGGGUGAUCUGCCCUGCACUUCGGGAUAAGCCUGGGAAACUGGGUCUAAUACCGGAUAGGACUCCGGACUGCAUGGUCUGGGGUGGAAAGCUUUUGCGGUGUGGGAUGGGCCCGGGGCCUAUCAGCUUGUUGGUGGGGUGAUGGCCUACCAAGGCGACGACGGGUAGCCGGCCGGAGAGGGUGACCGGCCACACUGGGACUGAGAUACGGCCCAGACUCCUACGGGAGGCAGCAGUGGGGAAUAUUGCACAAUGGGCGCAAGCCUGAUGCAGCGACGCCGCGUGAGGGAUGACGGCCUUCGGGUUGUAAACCUCUUUCAGCAUCGACGAAGCGAAAGUGACGGUAGGUGCAGAAGAAGGACCGGCCAACUACGUGCCAGCAGCCGCCGUAA